rnacentral:lncRNA from 1 species
CGCCGCCACGGCCGCCGCUCUUUGUACCCAUUGUUGAUCUCUGCCGCCUAGUGGUUGCGGUGGGCUUUACAAUUACAUGGUCUGUUUGUGUUUGUGGUGGCUGUUGUUGUUCAGCAUAGUGGUGAUGUAGAAGCUGGUAAUCUGGGGAUCUCAGCUGGUGAGGAAAUUGGUAGUGAUCGGAGUCAUUCUGCUCUUGAUUUCUCUGGAAAUCCAGAUUUUUCCCUAAUCUUCAAAAGGAGUGAGAGGUUUGCUUCAAAGCUAAGCUCUUUUCUUUUUCCACUAGCUAGUGCUAUGUGUAUGUAUUGGUUGUCUCUUCCAGCUUUCUUUUAAGAGAGACUGAAACACUGUUGCUGUUGCUGAUGCUGAUGCUGAUGCCUGCUCUUCUGCUACUGCUGAUCCCAAGGAAACCUGCCAUUAGAUUCCAUAUGCAUCAACACACUCUAGCUAGAACUCUAUAGCUAGCUAGUUAGAAAUCAGAGAAGAAAACUGAAUGAAAUCCAAAUUGAAGAUGAGAAAGAAGAAAAGGCAAGAGAUUUAAGAGCUUAGUUGGGUUGGGUUGGGUUGGGGUUUGGCACACAAAAGCAGAAAGAGAGGAAUAAAGAAGAGAGAGGGAUGGCUCAAUGGUAACGGGUAAAAAAUAGUUGAAGGUGAGGUGAGGUAUAUUAAUAUGGGGCUUGGCUUGAAAGAUAGAUAAAGAGUGUUGUGUGAAUUUUGAUGAUUCUGCAAAGGGUGGCAGAGUUUUUGGGUCAGAGUAAAAGAGACCUCUAAAUAAAUAUAUUACUUGG